rnacentral:rRNA from 1 species
UACGUAGGGUGCGAGCGUUGUCCGGAAUUACUGGGCGUAAAGAGCUCGUAGGUGGUUUGUCGCGUUGUCCGUGAAAACUCACAGCUCAACUGUGGGCGUGCGGGCGAUACGGGCAGACUGGAGUACUGCAGGGGAGACUGGAAUUCCUGGUGUAGCGGUGGAAUGCGCAGAUAUCAGGAGGAACACCGGUGGCGAAGGCGGAUCCCUGGGCAGUAACUGACGCUGAGGAGCGAAAGCGUGGGGAGCGAACAGG